ensembl:lncRNA
GUGUCGGGAGCAAGGGUAGCAUCCCAUAUGGAAGUCAUCAGCAUCAAUGCUAAGCUUCCUCGUAAGCUCUUUUGAGCCACCGUUAUUAAAAAUACAUUACACAUACACCUGUACAAGUUGAAGUCUUGGAAGAACAUGUCAAUUCCCCAGAAAUCAAAGUGCUUUCUGUAGGGAUGCCUGCAGGGGACGGUGAUCGUAAAGCAGCCAGAGAGCUUAAGGAAUGCAGAGAUUUCAGAGCCUGUGUGAUUACCCACAGCUGUACAAACAGUACAGCGAGAAUACAGAUUGACCUUGGCCGUGUUUUGAGAGUGCCAGAUAACCAGGUCCUUAAAAAAGCCCCGUUUCAACAUGAAGAGGAAAGAAGAGACAGCGACCCUGAGGAAGGCCAGGAAACACAGUAAUGGCUAAAGCGGCAAAAUCACAAGUCAGCAUUGAGAACACUUUUGAGGGACUGGGCUGGGACAGAAGUAGUUGGUGAUGACAGACAUCUGCAUUAUGUACCUGGCAGUCAAGAAGUGGAUUAGACUGGUUAUAUGACGUUAAUUUCUCAAGUACAUGCAGACAGCAUCCUUCAAAGCAUGAAUAAUUAUUCUGUAAUAGUCCCAUAAAUAGCCAUGGCAAUGAAAAUUUAGCCUGUUUUCAAGGGAUUUGAGACAGAAUUUAAGAGGCAGAGAGUGUUUUUAUGUAUUUCUAACUCCACAGGGCCAUGGCUAUCUUUUCCCAGCUUCCCAAACUUGUGUCUAUAUCCUACCAUAGAGAGAGCACCAGAAGGCCCUAUUCUGGUAAAUAAUCACAAUGCUCAUGUCUUUGACCUCCCCAUCACCCUUGCAAAUAGAUGUUUCCUUUGCUGUUUGCUCACAUGACUAGGACACACACCCUCCACCAUCAGGAUCACUUGCACAAGUGCAAACACGAUCACUAGGCUGGCCUCAUCCACGUCUCUUCAAACUGUUAUCUUGGGCUGUGCCCCACUGGGGUUUAGUCAGAUGCUUAACUGCAGGGAAUCUCUCUCAUGCUAGAUGAAACACAGUGGAUCACCUGCCUGGUAGGGAGGCUGCUAGACUCGUGAACCAGAGAGGCCCAAUUCAGGAUGAAAGCUAGAAAUAAGCUUACUCCGGAACUUCCCAUUACUCAAAUCAGGCCAUUGAAAUGAUCCUCAAAAAGUUAGUGUGAAACAGAGUGAGGACUGAAGAAAACUAAGCUGGAAAAGUGAAAAUUACACAAUAAUUGUUCUUCUCACCCUAUGAAUUCUGCCCUUGCAAUAUGCAAAUCCCUUAGAGAUACACGUUCACUGCCGUGUAGCAUCUUGCUUAGGAAAUAAGUGAGAAAUGGUAGGAGAGCUUGUGGAGAUCACUGUGAAAAACAUCACUGUAGUUUGGAAGUGACAAGAGUUCCCUAAACAAGAAAAAUAUGGCAGAAGAAAGAAGGAAAUGAAUCGGGAGGUGGAGGUCAUUAUUCUAUCUCAAUUGCUGGUGGGGACUCCACAUCCUGAACAGGGAUGAUAGAAGUGCUUCCUUGCUGAGGCUUCACCCAUACAGUUGCUGCCAGAUUGGCAGGGAGAGCAUCUCUCCGAGGGAAACUAAUUCCUGUGUUCCCCUGACAUCAGGUUACCACUGCAACACAGCAGCUCCCAAAGAACCUGCAUGACUUCAAGGAGAAACACUGUAUUUGCCCUGUUUUGCUCUCCCCCUUUAAACACUACUUCUAUAUUCACCAGCCAGUCCAGCAACUCCUUGCAAAUUUUACAACCAUUCCCCCCAGAACCUGAAGGCAUAAAGCAUUCACACAGCACACAACCUGAUAACUAAGUUAUAAAAUACAUGAGAACACAUAAAGCAUGUACAGAAGGUCUUGAAUAAGGGCAAUUAAUCUGCCUGCACCUCCAAGGGCAAGAAUUCACCUGAGUGUUUAAAUAAGCAUUAAAAAUAGAUCACAUUAAAAGCACAAGAAGGCAUAGAGUAUUCUUUAGGUCUGUCACGCAAAAAAAUCCUGUGUCUGACUUAUGAGGAAGUGUCCUCACCAGAUAUCAGCAAGCUGCAGGCUGAGACCUUUAGAACAAACUCAGAGGAAUGAUUAAUCACAAAUUGCACAUUACAAGUAGUUGGGAAGUAGGAUAAGGUGCGAGAUGGGUCUUUCCAAUCUAGAUGAUGCCAAACUAAGCAAUCUUUCCAGAUGUGAUAAGCCAAUCUCUCAGGCAAAGGAAGCAUGGUAGAUCUCAGCUAUUGGACUCGAAUGAAGCAUUUGAUUCAGUGCCACUGCUUAUAUAAUCAAAAGGCAAACUGGAGAAGCUGGAGGUUAGUAGGCAAAUCAUGAAGGAUGAGGAACUGCCUGAAGGGAGGAAGAAGUUAAGUAAUGUUGGAAAUGUCUCAUUCUGGGAUCAGGGGGUUCCACAAAGAUCAGUUCAGAUAUUUUUAAUAUUUUACCAACAAUU